AGGACAAAACGCUGGCGGGGUGCAUGAGACAUGCAAGUCGAACGAGGUGCCAUCGGGCUUGCUCGAUGGUUACCUAGUGGCGGACGGCUGAGUAACGCGUAGGUGACCUACCCGGAAGUGGGGAAUAACUGCCCGAAAGGGUGGCUAAUACCGCAUGUGGUCGGCGAUUCGAUUCGCCGUCUAAAGGAGCAAUUCGCUUCCGGAGGGGCCUGCGUCCGAUUAGCUAGUUGGUGGGGUAACGGCUCACCAAGGCGACGAUCGGUAGCUGGUCUGAGAGGAUGAUCAGCCAGACUGGGACUGAGAACGGCCCAGACUCCUACGGGAGGCAGCAGUCGGGAAUUUUUGCCCAAUGGACGAAAGUCUGAGGCAGCAACUCCGCGUGAGGGAUGAAGGCUCUCGGGUCGUAAACCUCUUUUCUCAGGGAAGAUCCAAGACGGUACCUGAGGAAUAAGCGACGGCUAACUACGUGCCAGCAGCCGC
rnacentral:rRNA from 1 species